AAGAAACUGUCAGAAAAGAGGAAGAGCUGGCAUAAGGCAAAGACAACUAUUUCUUUUAAGUCUUUGGCUGAUAAUUCAUUGGUGAAAUGCAACGUGAUUCUUGUAGGUGACAUCAAGGAGAUGGUACUGGCUUCCUUCCAAAGUACUCCAGGGACUUGGAGGGUAAUUUUGUAUGGAAUACUCUUUCUGAUACUGGUGAUGUCACACAUGUACAAUUUGCCAGAUGAAAAUCAAGUGUACAUCUCCUCAGUCAACAGAGAGACCAGUAUUUUCAGGUCAGGCUCUGGAGUUUAGCAGAGUACAGUUAUUUAAUGGACACUGCAUCACAGGCUGAAGUCAUGUACAGUCUUCCUGCCCUCUGUUUGUAGGGUAAAGUCAUAGACUUCACUAGGCAUGGACCACGCUAGAAUUGGGCCUAUAGUGGACAAACACAGAGCACUUUAUCACUACAAAAAAGAUCCUUGGUUUUUCCUUAUCCACUCAAGCCAAACCUUAGGAGAUCACAGGAAGCAGAACUUUGAAGUCUUUUCACAGCUGACCCACAUGACUUAAGAAGCAACUUUGCCCAGGUCAGAAAAUCUUUGCUGAGGCUCUGAGCUGAGUUUUUCAUUUAUUGCAGGUACUAAUGAUACCUCUUUAGUACUGCCCUGGAGACCGAUUGCUCCAUAGAAAGAUUUUCAAUAAGGAUCUCUGUGACACAGAAGAGUACCACCUGGCCUGAAGCCACCUUGAUGGAGAGACCAUGUGGGAGGCUCCACAGAGAUAUUUCUAGCUGUUUGAGCCUUUUCCCCACAAUCAACCUCUGGACCCAAGAGAGCUAGCCUUCAAACCACCCCUCACUGAUGCUGAGUGGAGCAGAGACCAGCUGUACGAUGGAGCCGUGACCAAAUUACAAAGUAAUCAGUAAUAAAGUGUUAUGCUACUAA